GCAACUCGCCUACANGAAGUCGGAAUUGCUAGUAAUCGCGGAUCAGCAUGCCGCGGUGAAUACGUUCCCGGGCCUUGUACACACCGCCCGUCACACCAUGAGAGCCGGUAACACCCGAAGUCAGUAGCCUAACCGCAAGGGGGGCGCUGCCGAAGGUGGGAUUGGUAAUUGGGGUGAAGUCGUAACAAGGUAGC
rnacentral:rRNA from 1 species